rnacentral:rRNA from 1 species
UACGUAGGUGGCGAGCGUUGUCCGGAUUUACUGGGCGUAAAGAGCGCGCAGGCGGUCGUACAAGUCGCGUGUGAAAGCCCCCGGCUCAACUGGGGAGGGUCACGCGAUACUGUUCGACUCGAAGGCAGGAGAGGGAAGUGGAAUUCCCGGUGUAGUGGUGAAAUGCGUAGAUAUCGGGAGGAACACCAAUGGCGAAGGCAGCUCGCUGGGACGGUACUGACGCUGAGACGCGAAAGCGUGGGGAGCAAACAGG